GUGCCAGCAGCCGCGGUAAUACGGAGGAUGCAAGCGUUAUCCGGAUUUAUUGGGCGUAAAGCGUCCGCAGGUGGUUUAUCAAGUCUGCUGUUAAAGCGUGGGGCUUAACCCCAUAUAGACAGUGGAAACUGAAAGACUAGAGUACGGUAGGGGUAGCGGGAAUUCCCAGUGUAGCGGUGAAAUGCGUAGAUAUUGGGAAGAACACCAGCGGCGAAGGCGCGCUACUGGGCCGAAACUGACACUCAUGGACGAAAGCUAGGGGAGCGAAAGGGAUUAGAUACCCCUGUAGUCCUAGCUGUAAACGAUGACAACUAGGUGUUGCGCGUAUCGACCCGUGCAGUGCCGUAGCUAACGCGUUAAGUUGUCCGCCUGGGGAGUACGCACGCAAGUGUGAAACUCAAAGGAAUUGACGGGGGCCCGCACAAGCGGUGGAGUAUGUGGUUUAAUUUGAUGCAACGCGAAGAACCUUACCAGGGCUUGACAUGUCGCGAAUCCCGGUGAAAGUCGGGAGUGCCUUCGGGAGCGCGAACACAGGUGGUGCAUGGCUGUCGCCAGCUCGUGUCGUGAGAUGUUGGGUUAAGUCCCGCAACGAGCGCAACCCUCGUUUCUAGUUGCCAUCAUUAAGUUGGGCACUUUAGAGAGACUGCCGGUGACAAACCGGAGGAAGGUGGGGAUGACGUCAAGUCAGCAUGCCCCUUACGCCCUGGGCUACACACGUACUACAAUGCUAUGGACAAAGAGUUGCAAGCCAGCGAUGGCAAGCUAAUCUCAUAAACAUGGCUCAGUUCAGAUUGCAGGCUGCAACUCGCCUGCAUGAAGGAGGAAUCGCUAGUAAUCGCAGGUCAGCAUACUGCGGUGAAUACGUUCCCGGGCCUUGUACACACCGCCCGUCACACCAUGGGAGUUGGCCACGCCCGAAGUCGUUACUCCAACCGAAAGGAGGGGGAUGCCGAAGGCAGGGCUGAUGACUGGGGUGAAGUCGUAACAAGGUAACC
rnacentral:rRNA from 1 species